rnacentral:rRNA from 1 species
GACGAACGCUGGCGGCGUGCUUAACACAUGCAAGUCGAGCGGAAAGGCCCUUCGGGGUACUCGAGCGGCGAACGGGAGAGUAACACGUGAGUAAUCUGCCCUUGGCUUUGGGAUAACUACCGGAAACGGUGGCUAAUACCGGAUACGACAACCGUCUGCAUGGGCUGGUUGUGGAAAGUUUUUUCGGCCAGGGAUGUGCUCGCGGCCUAUCAGCUUGUUGGUCGGGUAAUGGCCUACCAAGGCUUCGACGGGUAGCCGGCCUGAGCGGGGGAGCGGCCACACUGGGACUGAGACGCGGCACAGACUCCUCCGGGAGGCAGCGGUGGGGACUGUUGGACAUUGGGCGGAAGCCUGAUCCGGCAACGCCGCGUGAGGGAUGACGGCCUUCGGGUUGUAAACCUCUUUCAGUACCGACGAAGCGCCGAUGAUGGUGGUGACGGUAGGUACAGAAGAAGCACCGGCCAACUACGUG